UACGUAGGGUGCAAGCGUUGUCCGGAAUUAUUGGGCGUAAAGAGCUCGUAGGCGGUUUGUCGCGUCUGCUGUGAAAACCCGAGGCUCAACUUCGGGCCUGCAGUGGGUACGGGCAGACUAGAGUGCGGUAGGGGAGAUUGGAAUUCCUGGUGUAGCGGUGGAAUGCGCAGAUAUCAGGAGGGACACCAAUGGCGAAGGCAGAUCUCUGGGCCGUAACUGACGCUGAGGAGCGAAAGCAUGGGGAGCGAACAGG
rnacentral:rRNA from 1 species